rnacentral:rRNA from 1 species
AGAGUUUGAUCAUGGCUCAGAUUGAACGCUGGCGGCAUGCCUUACACAUGCAAGUCGAACGGCAGCAUGAUCUAGCUUGCUAGAUUGAUGGCGAGUGGCGAACGGGUGAGUAAUACAUCGGAACGUGCCCUGUAGUGGGGGAUAACUAGUCGAAAGAUUAGCUAAUACCGCAUACGACCUGAGGGUGAAAGUGGGGGACCGCAAGGCCUCAUGCUAUAGGAGCGGCCGAUGUCUGAUUAGCUAGUUGGUGAGGUAAAGGCUCACCAAGGCGACGAUCAGUAGCUGGUCUGAGAGGACGAUCAGCCACACUGGGACUGAGACACGGCCCAGACUCCUACGGGAGGCAGCAGUGGGGAAUUUUGGACAAUGGGGGCAACCCUGAUCCAGCAAUGCCGCGUGUGUGAAGAAGGCCUUCGGGUUGUAAAGCACUUUUGUCCGGAAAGAAAUCGCACUUACUAAUAUUAGGUGUGGAUGACGGUACCGGAAGAAUAAGGACCGGCUAACUACGUGCCAGCAGCCGCGGUAAUACGUAGGGUCCAAGCGUUAAUCGGAAUUACUGGGCGUAAAGCGUGCGCAGGCGGUUGUGCAAGACCGAUGUGAAAUCCCCGGGCUUAACCUGGGAAUUGCAUUGGUGACUGCACGGCUAGAGUGUGUCAGAGGGGGGUAGAAUUCCACGUGUAGCAGUGAAAUGCGUAGAGAUGUGGAGGAAUACCGAUGGCGAAGGCAGCCCCCUGGGAUAACACUGACGCUCAUGCACGAAAGCGUGGAGCAAACAGGAUUAGAUACCCUGGUAGUCCACG